CCUACGGGAGGCAGCAGUGAGGAAUAUUGGUCAAUGGACGAGAGUCUGAACCAGCCAAGUAGCGUGAAGGAUGACUGCCCUAUGGGUUGUAAACUUCUUUUAUAUGGGAAUAAAAUGUUCCACGUGUGGGAUUUUGUAUGUACCAUAUGAAUAAGGAUCGGCUAACUCCGUGCCAGCAGCCGCGGUAAUACGGAGGAUCCGAGCGUUAUCCGGAUUUAUUGGGUUUAAAGGGAGCGUAGGUGGAUUGUUAAGUCAGUUGUGAAAGUUUGCGGCUCAACCGUAAAAUUGCAGUUGAAACUGGCAGUCUUGAGUACAGUAGAGGUGGGCGGAAUUCGUGGUGUAGCGGUGAAAUGCGUAGAUAUCACGAAGAACUCCGAUUGCGAAGGCAGUUCACUGGACUGCAACUGACACUGAGGCUCGAAAGUGUGGGUAUCAAACAGGAGUAGAUACCCUAGUAGUC
rnacentral:rRNA from 1 species